rnacentral:rRNA from 1 species
CCGCGAACCAUCGAGUCUUUGAACGCAAGUUGCGCCCGAGGCCACCAGGCUAAGGGCACGCCUGCCUGGGCGUC